AUUGAACGCUGGCGGCAUGCUUUACACAUGCAAGUCCAACGGCAGCGCGGGCUUCGGCCUGGCGGCGAGUGGCGAACGGGUGAGUAAUGCAUCGGAACGUGCCCAGUAGUGGGGGAUAGCCCGGCGAAAGCCGGAUUCAUACCGCAUACGACCUGAGGGUGAAAGCGGGGGACCGAAAGGCCUCGCGCUCUUGGAGCGGCCGAUGUCGGAUUAGCUAGUUGGUGGGGUAAAGGCUUACCAAGGCGACGAUCCGUAGCUGGUCUGAGAGGACGACCAGCCACACUGGGACUGAGACACGGCCCAGACUCCUACGGGAGGCAGCAGUGGGGAAUUUUGGACAAUGGGGGCAACCCUGAUCCAGCCAUGCCGCGUGCGGGAAGAAGGCCUUCGGGUUGUAAACCGCUUUUGUUCGGGAAGAAAUCCUCUGGGCUAAUACCCCGGGGGGAUGACGGUACCGGAAGAAUAAGCACCGGCUAACUACGUG
rnacentral:rRNA from 1 species